rnacentral:lncRNA from 1 species
AUGAAUUUUUAUUAGAUUAGCUGUAAGCAGCCGUGGGAGGAAGGAAAUAAACAGAAAUCCUACUCCUUAUUUAACGAGGAUAUAUAGUCGGUGAUCAAGGUUGAUUGAAACAUAAAGUUUUACCAUAACACUUUUCCAACUGAUGUUCGACGUCCACCACCCUUUUUAAUAGGGAUGUCAAAGAGUAUAUACUGUAACUGUACAUAUGACAAUUAAUAACUAAGAGAAGCUGUUGAAGUUAUCGACCAUAUGAUUUCUGUCAGUUUUUUUCUCUUUAUGAAGAUGAGGUUGCGAGAAACAAUAAAUGUAUGGACGCACAUAGAGAACAAAUUAAAAAGAAGAAAUAAGAAGAAAAAAGAAAAAAGAGACAAAAGGAAAAUAAGAAGGAAAAAGAAAAAAGGGACGAAGAAGAAGGAUAAAAAAGAAUUAAUGAUAACUUUUUAUUUCCUUUUCCAGAGUCAGCUUACUACUAUGUUGCAAUGCUGGAGGAACUCCAAAGAUCCUGACUUAUUUGUUGUAAGUUCAUAACAAAAGCGAGAAGUAAAAGAAGUCAUUCAACGAAUCGGGCCUAUACUCAGAAUAUUAGGUAUGGAGAGAAGAGGAUCGAAGUAACGUUUAUUAUUAUUCAUAAUU